rnacentral:rRNA from 1 species
CCUACGGGAGGCAGCAGUGGGGAAUAUUGCACAAUGGGGGAAACCCUGAUGCAGCGACGCCGCGUGAGUGCAGAAGUAUUUCGGUAUGUAAAGCUCUAUCAGCAGGGAAGAAAAUGACGGUACCUGACUAAGAAGCCCCGGCUAACUACGUGCCAGCAGCCGCGGUAAUACGGAGGGGGCAAGCGUUAUCCGGAUUUACUGGGUGUAAAGGGGGCGUAGGCGGGCAGACUAGUCUGAAGGUAAAGGCCAGGGCUCAACCCGGGGACCGCUGUUGAAACUGCCGGGCUGGAGUGCAGGAGAGGUAGGCGGAAUUCCUAGUGUAGCGGUGAAAUGCGUAGAUAUUAGGAGGAACACCAGUGGCGAAGGCGGCUUACUGGGCUUUAACUGACGUUGAGGCUCGAAAGCGUGGGGAGCAAACAGGAUUAGAUACCCUUGUAGUC